rnacentral:lncRNA from 1 species
CGAUAGACCGGCGAGAGGAUCCAUGAGAUGCAGCAGUUCCAGUGACAGCACCGAGUGGAGCUAUAGGGUUACUUUCAUUGGACGGGGUACAACCCCAACCAGCAGCAGUGAGCCUGAAGCUAGCUUGGGGGAGGACCCCCACAAGAGAGGUAACUUGUAUCUUUACCAUUUUCAGAAUAUGCAUGAUCGAAACAAAUAAAAAUUGGAAAACUAAAAAGACCAAAUAAAA